rnacentral:rRNA from 1 species
UACGUAGGGUGCAGGCGUUAAUCGGAAUUACUGGGCGUAAAGCGUGCGCAGGCGGUUUGCUAAGACAGAUGUGAAAUCCCCGGGCUUAACCUGGGAACUGCGUUUGUAACUGGCAAGCUAGAGUGUGGCAGAGGGGGGUGGAAUUCCAAGUGUAGCAGUGAAAUGCGUAGAGAUGUGGAGGAACACCGAUGGCGAAGGCAGCCCCCUGGGCUAACACUGACGCUCAUGCACGAAAGCGUGGGGAGCAAACAGG